rnacentral:rRNA from 1 species
UACGUAGGGUGCGAGCGUUGUCCGGAAUUAUUGGGCGUAAAGAGCUUGUAGGCGGUCUGUCGCGUCUGCUGUGAAAAUCCGGGGCUCAACCCCGGACUUGCAGUGGGUACGGGCAGACUAGAGUGUGGUAGGGGAGACUGGAAUUCCUGGUGUAGCGGUGAAAUGCGCAGAUAUCAGGAGGAACACCGAUGGCGAAGGCAGGUCUCUGGGCCACUACUGACGCUGAGGAGCGAAAGCGUGGGGAGCGAACAGG